rnacentral:rRNA from 1 species
GAGGGAAAGGUGAAAAGAACCCCGGGAGGGGAGUGAAAUAGAACCUGAAACCGUGUGCCUACAACCGGUCAAAGCCCCUUAUGAGGGUGAUGACGUGCUUUUUGUAGAACGAGCCAACGAGUUACGGUAUGUAGCAAGGUUAAGUACUUAAGGUACGGAGCCGAAGGGAAACCGAGUCUUAAUAGGGCGACUAGUUGCAUGCCGUAGACCCGAAACCGGGUGACCUAUCCAUGGCCAGGUUGAAGCGAGGGUAAAACUUCGUGGAGGACCGAACCACGUUGCUGUUGAAAAAGCAUGGGAUGAGCUGUGGAUAGCGGAGAAAUUCCAAUCGAACUCGGAGAUAGCUGGUUCUCCCCGAAAUAGCUUUAGGGCUAGCGUCGGAUAUGUGUAGUGGAGGUAGAGCACUGAAUGGGCUAGGGGGCAUAUCGCUUACCGAACCUUAUCAAACUCCGAAUGCCAUAUACAUUAAGUCCGGCAGUCAGACUACGAAUGAUAAGAUCCGUGGUCAAAAGGGAAACAGCCCAGACCGUCAGCUAAGGUCCCAAAGUGUAAGUUAAGUGGAAAAGGAUGUGGGAUUUCUAAGACAACUAGGAUGUUGGCUUAGAAGCAGCCACUCAUUUAAAGAGUGCGUAAUAGCUCACUAGUCGAGAGAUCCUGCGCCGAAAAUGUACCGGGGCUAAACUUACCACCGAAGCUACGGAUUUGCAAGUAAUUGCAAGUGGUAGGGGAGCGUCGUAAUCGGGCUGAAGUCGUACCGGAAGGAGCGGUGGACUGAUUACGAGUGAGAAUGUUGGCAUUAGUAGCGAGAUGUAGGUGAGAAUCCUACAGGCCGAAUAUCUAAGGUUUCCUCAGGAAGGCUCGUCCGCUGAGGGUUAGUCGGGACCUAAGCCGAGGCCGAAAGGCGUAGGCGAUGGACAAUCGGUUGAUAUUCCGAUACCACUACCAUCGUUAUUAUCGAGGGUGUGACGGAGAAGGAUAGUGUGUGCUAGCGAUUGGAAAUGCUAGUCUAAGCGUUUAGGGAGUUACGGUAGGCAAAUCCGCUGUAACAAUUCUGAGGCGUGAUGGGGAAGGUCAUUAAGACCGAAGUACAUGAUUCCAUGCUUCCAAGAAAAGCAUCUAGAGAGAGAAGUAGUGCCCGUACCGCAAACCGACACAGGUAGAUGAGGAGAGAAUCCUAAGGCCGGCGGAAGAAUUGCAGUUAAGGAACUAGGCAAAUUGACCCCGUAAGUUCGCGAGAAGGGGUGCCUGCGAGAGCAGGCCGCAGAGAAUAGGCCCAAGCAACUGUUUAGCAAAAACACAGGUCUCUGCUAAAGCGUAAGCUGAUGUAUAGGGGCUGACGCCUGCCCGGUGCUGGAAGGUUAAGGGGAACACUUAGCGCAAGCGAAGGUGUGAACUUAAGCCCCAGUAAACGGCGGCCGUAACUAUAACGGUCCUAAGGUAGCGAAAUUCCUUGUCAGGUAAGUUCUGACCCGCACGAAUGGCGUAAUGACUUGGGCACUGUCUCAACUGCAAAUCCGGCGAAGUUGUAGUGCGAGUGAAGAUGCUCGCUACCCGCGAUUGGACGGAAAGACCCCGUAGAGCUUUACUGUAGCUUAGCAUUGAAUUCCGGUAUUGUCUGUACAGGAUAGGUGGGAGACUGGGAAACUAGGGCGUCAGCCUUAGUGGAGUCAACCUUGGGAUACCACCCUGACAGUACUGGGGUUCUAACAGGACGCCAUGAAGCUGGUGACUGGACAUUGUUAGGUGGGCAGUUUGACUGGGGCGGUCGCCUCCUAAAAAGUAACGG